GAUCAUGGCUCAGAACGAACGCUGGCGGCAGGCCUAACACAUGCAAGUCGAACGCCGUAGCAAUACGGAGUGGCAGACGGGUGAGUAACACGUGGGAACGUACCUUUCGGUUCGGAAUAACUCAGGGAAACUUGAGCUAAUACCGGAUACGUGCGAGAGCAGAAAGAUUUAUCGCCGAAAGAUCGGCCCGCGUCCGAUUAGCUAGUUGGUGAGGUAAUGGCUCACCAAGGCGACGAUCGGUAGCUGGUCUGAGAGGAUGAUCAGCCACACUGGGACUGAGACACGGUCCAGACUCCUACGGGAGGCAGCAGUGGGGAAUAUUGGACAAUGGGCGAAAGCCUGAUCCAGCCAUGCCGCGUGAGUGAUGAAGGCCUUAGGGUUGUAAAGCUCUUUCGCCAGGGACGAUAAUGACGGUACCUGGAUAAGAAGCCCCGGCUAACUUUGUG
rnacentral:rRNA from 1 species